rnacentral:sRNA from 1 species
UGCAUCUGAAGCCUGACGAGGAUGAGAACCUCCGGGGGCAAGAGGUUCGACUCGAGCGCAGCGAGAGAACGUUGCUUCAGCAACGGCCCGCAG